GAUGAACGCUGGCGGCGUGCCUAAUACAUGCCAGUCGAGCGAACGGACGAGAAGCUUGCUUCUCUGUUGUUAGCGGCGGACGGGUGAGUAACACGUGGAUAACCUACCUAUAAGACUGGGAUAACUUCGGGAAACCGGAGCUAAUACCGGAUAAUAUUUUGAACCGCAUGGUUCAAAAGUGAAAGACGGUCUUGCUGUCACUUAUAGAUGGAUCCGCGCUGCAUUAGCUAGUUGGUAAGGUAACGGCUUACCAAGGCAACGAUGCAUAGCCGACCUGAGAGGGUGAUCGGCCACACUGGAACUGAGACACGGUCCAGACUCCUACGGGAGGCAGCAGUAGGGAAUCUUCCGCAAUGGGCGAAAGCCUGACGGAGCAACGCCGCGUGAGUGAUGAAGGUCUUCGGAUCGUAAAACUCUGUUAUUAGGGAAGAACAUAUGUGUAAGUAACUGUGCACAUCUUGACGGUACCUAAUCAGAAAGCCACGGCUAACUACGUG
rnacentral:rRNA from 1 species